rnacentral:rRNA from 1 species
GACGUAGGGCGCGAGCGUUGUCCGGCUUUAUUGGGCGUAAAGAGCUCGUAGGCGGCUUGUUGCGUCGACCGUGAAAACCCGGGGCUCAACUUCGGGCUUGCGGUCGAUACGGGCGGGCUAGAGUUCGGUAGGGGAGACUGGAAUUCCUGGUGUAGCGGUGAAAUGCGCAGAUAUCAGGAGGAACACCGGUGGCGAAGGCGGGUCUCUGGGCCGAUACUGACGCUGAGGAGCGAAAGCGUGGGGAGCGAACAGG